rnacentral:rRNA from 1 species
GUGCAGCAGUCGCGAAAACUCCGCAAUACGCGAAAGCGUGACGGGGCUACCCCGAGUGCCGUCCGCUGAGGACGGCUUUUCCCCAGUGUAGAGAGCCGGGGGAAUAAGGAGAGGGCAAGUCUGGUGUCAGCCGCCGCGGUAAUACCAGCUCUCCGAGUGGUAGGGAUGAUUAUUGGGCCUAAAGCGUCCGUAGCCGGCUGGGCAAGUCUCCCGUUAAAUCCAACGAUUCAAUCGUUGGACUGCGGGAGAUACUGUUCGGCUAGGAGGCGGGAGAGGCCAACGGUAUUCCCGGAGUAGGGGUGAAAUCCUAUAAUCCCGGGAGGACCACCAGUGGCGAAGGCUGUUGGCUAGAACGCGCCCGACGGUGAGGGACGAAAGCUGGGGGAGCGAACCGGAUUAGAUACCCGGGUAGUCC